rnacentral:tRNA from 1 species
GGACCCGUAGCAUAGCUGGUUAAUGCUUUGUGCUUAUAUCGCAAGGAUCGGGAGUUCGAUCCUCCCCGGGUCCA